rnacentral:rRNA from 1 species
ACGGGUGCGUAACACGUGAGGAACAUGACCUUCGGCGGGGGAUAGCCGGCCCAACGGCCGGGUAAUACCGCGUACGACCAUUUGGGGACAUCCCGGAAUGGUGAAAGCAGCAAUGCGCCGAUGGAGUGCCUCGCGGCCUAUCAGCUAGUUGGUGAGGUAACGGCUCACCAAGGCAACGACGGGUAGCUGGUCUGAGAGGAUGGCCAGCCACAUUGGGACUGAGACACGGCCCAGACUCCUACGGGAGGCAGCAGUGGGGAAUAUUGCGCAAUGGACGAAAGUCUGACGCAGCGACGCCGCGUGUGGGAUGACGGUCUUCGGAUUGUAAACCACUGUCGGGAGGGACGAAUACGCCGCAAGGCGGGUGACGGUACCUCCAAAGGAAGCACCGGCUAACUCCGUGCCAGCAGCCGCGGUAAUACGGAGGGUGCGAGCGUUGUCCGGAAUCACUGGGCGUAAAGGGCGCGUAGGCGGCCUGAUAAGUAGGGGGUGAAAUCCUGCGGCUUAACCGCAGGGCUGCCUUCUAAACUGUCAGGCUUGAGCACAGUAGAGGCAGGUGGAAUUCCCGGUGUAGCGGUGGAAUGCGUAGA